rnacentral:rRNA from 1 species
UGCCAGACUCCUACGGGAGGCAGCAGUGAGGAAUAUUGGUCAAUGGGCGCGAGCCUGAACCAGCCAAGUCGCGUGAGGGAUGACGGUCCUACGGAUUGUAAACCUCUUUUGCCGGGGAGCAAGCGUGCGUUCGUGAACGCGCGUCGAGAGUACCCGGAGAAAAAGCAUCGGCUAACUCCGUGCCAGCAGCCGCGGUAAUACGGAGGAUGCGAGCGUUAUCCGGAUUUAUUGGGUUUAAAGGGUGCGUAGGCGGAAGGUUAAGUCAGCGGUCAAAUGUCGGUGCUCAACACCGGCCUGCCGUUGAAACUGGUCUUCUUGAGUGAGCGAGAAGUAUGCGGAAUGCGUGGUGUAGCGGUGAAAUGCAUAGAUAUCACGCAGAACUCCGAUUGCGAAGGCAGCGUACCGGCGCCCAACUGACGCUGAAGCACGAAGGCGUGGGUAUCGAACAGGAUUAGAUACCCCCGUAC